AUAAUGAUAGAAUGAAAGAACUUUUGCGGAAAAUUAUUUCUAACAAGCAAGAGUCAACAACCAGAUGAAUAAACAAUACAAUUGAAAGAUGGAAAAUAAAAGUAUGUUAAGCGAAUUUUCAAUAAAAAUUAUUUUUAAAAUAGGAACAGGAUGAAGAGAAGAUUUCAUAUGAGUUAUUCGACGUUUCGAACUGAUUUCGCAAUAUGGUCACGCGGUGGUUUAAAAUGUCAUCGCCCAAGGAUACGUACGCGUCGAUGAAGGGUAACGAAGUUUCGGUUAGCUCGAUAGAUGCGCGCACAAGAGGACAAUUCGAGCGUACAGCUCGUCAGAGUUUCACUGGUGCUACGCUAACGAAGCUCAUAUUCGAAGCAGCGAGGAAUCUCCGGUGGUAAUACAAGCUAAAUUCCAGAUAACUCAGCGACCACGCUGUCUGAGUGUUGAUCUUUAACCCUAGAAUUUCCCAUGCGAGGUCGAAGGCUGACUCGUGACUUGGUCAGGGCACGUCAUAAACUCGAUUUGAAAUUAUUCCUACGAUUGGAAUAGUUCGAACAUGAAUUACGCUCUCGUACCUUUAGGAUCGUGCGCAAUUUUCCUCCAUCCAUUUCGAAGGCUCUACAUAUUUCUUGCUGGUAAC
rnacentral:misc_RNA from 1 species